GUUUAAAAUUGUUAUACUUAGAAAUCCGCAAUUAUGCGUGAUAUAAAUAAUAUCAUAGUUCAUAUAGUAAAGACAAACUCCUAGCCCAGCACCUAUACGCGCUUUACCUGGCCUGGGUCCAGCAACUGCCCACUUUUUCAAGCGAAAUAUGCAUUCUGGUGGGUUUCUCGAAACUGAAUUUUCUUUCGAAUAAACACUGUAUAAAUAACUCUGGCUGGUUUAUCAGAGUUUUAUUGAAUUGCAGGACGAUGUGAUAAUAUAAUUUAUUUAUAUAAAUAAACUAUAUAUACUGUGUACAAUGUAUAUAAUAAAAUAGUAUGGAUUUCAAUAAAUAGUCAAAAUGUCUGGA